rnacentral:rRNA from 1 species
AUUGAACGCUGGCGGCAUGCCUUACACAUGCAAGUCGAGCGGUAAGGCCUUUCGGGGUACGACGAGCGGCGAACGGGUGAGUAACACGUGGGUGACCUGCCCUCAGCUCUGGGAUAAGCCUGGGAAACCGGGUCUAAUACCGGAUAUGACUCCAUGACGCAUGUUGUGGGGUGGAAAGCCUUGUGCGGCUGAGGAUGGGCCCGCGGCCUAUCAGCUUGUUGG